CUGACAGCAUCUUCCUGACAGCGUUAUUCUGAGGAACAUUGUAACAUUGUCAAGUGCAGUAAAUCAGGUCUAAAAGGCCAGAAAAAAUGUAUUAAAUAAAACAGAGAACUGAACGACACAGAAAAUUGCCGAAAAGUUUUUUUUUUUCCUUCUUCCUUUUUUUUUUCCUGAAAAUUCUGGACAUCAGAAAAAGUAUAUGGGGACAGAGACAAGUGUUACACCUAAGGGAAUGCUCCCUCCUCCAAGCCUCUUGUCAGACACAUCUUUCUGUGGAAAAUCAAGUGGAACAUUGUCACUAGGAAGCACAGGCUGAACCAGGACAAUUGAAUUAUCUUUGGCAAAACAUGCAAAGAUGCCCUAGAAUGUAACUGCUAUUGUUGAUGCUUUUGACACUUCAGUUUUCUACAAGGAGGAAAAGUUCUUUUUUUAAACAAGUAGAUGAAUGUAUGUGCAUGUAGAUGUUGGAAGUCAUAUUCUUGUUAGAAGAAAAUUUAGCUGGUUAAAGCAGAAAGAGUGAGUGAUUUAGAAAGUUUGGGUCUUUUUCUAGAAAUGGUUUUAGUUGUGGUCACUUGCAAGGUUGUGUUGCACCUCUAACACAGUGUUAAGAAGCAGUAAGUAAAUAAAUAAAUGGAAUCACAGAAUGAAUCAGGUGGGAAGAGGCCUCUAGAAACAGUCUAGCCCAACUGCCCAGUACAGGAUUCAAGUAUUCAAUACUCUAACUAGUAAAAUGUAUCUAGAAUAGGUAAGUUUGAAUAAAUGAAUACACAAAGUAGAACAUCCACUUUGCCAGGCUGCGUUAAGUGAGGCAACAAUUAAAAAGUAACACGUGGAUUUUGUCUGUUGCAGCUGUUGUACCUGUUUAAAUAAAGGCAUCUUAUAUCUCACACUCAGCUCUGAAAGCCUGAAACUUCCAUGACAAAUUGUUCACUCUCUGAUCAGAGAAGGCUGACACUGCAAAAAGAUGUGGAUGAGCAGAGAAUCAUAUCAGUGCUUCAUCUGUGCACUUCCAGAACUGCAGGAAGAAUACAAGAGCAAACAACCUCACAAAAUAUGAUAAUGAAUGCACUGCCUACCCUUCUCUGUCAGCUUUCUGAUCUUGCAAGGCAGAAAUCUCCAAACACUCCUUUCAAUAUGCAGAGGGAGCAAUAAGUCAAUAUAACCCACAAGUAAACAAACUUUCUUAUGUCUUCUGUCAGAUUUGCUUGAAUAUUUUCAGUGGGUGGGCUCCCAGUAGUUAGGUUAAGGGUAAAUAUAAUUGUUUCUUCUAGGAGAGAAAAUAUGACAAGGAAUGUGUUUUUAAAAUGAGACUUGCAUGGAUCAUAUUUUCUUGGAACCUUACUGAAACAAUAAAGCUUUUGAGGUUAAUCUAAAUUGUUCUUCA
ensembl:lncRNA